AGCAGCCGCGGUAAUUCCAGCUCCAAUAGCGUAUAUUAAAGUUGUUGCAGUUAAAAAGCUCGUAGUUGAAUUUCGGGAUCAAUUAGUCGGUCGUGCCUCUGGUACGUACUGGUUUUUAUUGGUUCCUCCCUUCUGACGAAACAUGAUGUCAUUAAUUUGGUAUCGUGGAGAAUCAGGACUGUUACCUUGAAAAAUUAGAGUGUUUAUAGCAGGCUAACGCUUGAAUACAUUAGCAUGGAAUAAUGAAAUAGGACGUUCGACCCUAUUUUGUUGGUUUCUAGGAUCGACGUAAUGAUUAAUAGGGAUAGUUGGGGGCAUUAGUAUUCAAUUGUCAGAGGUGAAAUUCUUGGAUUUAUUGAAGACUAACUACUGCGAAAGCAUUUGCCAAGGANGUUUUCAUUAAUCAAGAACGAAAGUUAGGGGAUCGAAGACGAUCAGAUACCGUCGUAGUCUUAACCAUAAACUAUGCCGACUAGGGAUCGGAUGAUGUUAAUUUUUAAUUGUACUC
rnacentral:rRNA from 1 species